UCUGAGAUGACUGGGAGCAGACAUUCUGAAUUUUCUAGCUGCAGGUGACCAACUCCAGAGAUCAUUCCCUCCCUGUCUCCCUUCCAGAGAACAUGGUUUCUUCAGAUGCUCUGAAGAAGCUGCUUAGAGACUAGAUGGUGCAGUCUGCAUACGAGAUGAGGCAACCCUGGAUAUACAUACAGUCUGGGAUUCUGGUUGAUGAGCUACAUCAUUGGCUACACCAUAUCAGAACCACUGGCUACCUAAAUGGCAAACUAGCUUCUGUCUCCUGUUGCUCCUCAUGCCUCCAUAUCUCCCAGUCUGAGUCUCAACAGGGUUUUCUACUGUUGCUUCUUAAGUUCAACAGAGUAAGGAAAGAAUGGGAAGCACACUGUGCAGUUGAAGUCAGAAGAUGUGGAAGGGAGGAGAGGAAAACUGAAGGAAGCACACUUCAGAG
ensembl:lncRNA